UUGGUGGUGGAGGGUGAUUCGGCUGCAGUGGUUAGUUGGUUUCAUAGAUAGGGAGAUGUUUCCAACCCGUUUGUUCAUGAUAUCAGAUUUUUGUUAGCAUGUUACGUUUACGUGGACAUCAGAUAUAUCUAUCGCGAGGCGAAUGCCGCCAAUUGGAUGACAAGUUAUGUAGCCAAUCACUCAUAUUUGGAUUGAUGUAUCUGUCUUACUGGUGUCCUCCCGAAACAUUUUUUUUCUGCCUUUUUGGAUUGUAUUCAUACACACAUUGUAUGAAUGUUCCAUUUGGCCAAAAAAAAAAAAAUAACAACUUUGCUUUUGAGAUGCUUUCCAAGAUACCCUCUCAAAUAAUAGUAAUUAUGAUUUUUUGGGUUUGAAAGUUUUUCUUCUCGAGAAGAGAGAGGCAAGAUCGAAAUGGAAAA
rnacentral:lncRNA from 1 species